rnacentral:rRNA from 1 species
UACCUGCAGCUCAAGUGGUGGCCGCUAUUAUUGGGCCUAAAACGUUCGUAGCCGGUUUGGUAAAUGUCUGGGUAAAUUGUGUAGCUUAACUAUACAAAUUCCGGGUAGACUGCCAAACUUGAGACCGGGAGAAGCUAGAGGUACUCCUGGGGUAGAGGUGAAAUUCUGUAAUCCUGGGGGGACCACCAGUGGCGAAGGCGUCUAGCUAGAACGGGUUUGACGGUGAGGAACGAAGCCCUGGGGCGCAAACCGGAUUAGAUACCCGGGGUAGUCCAGGGUGUAAACGCUGCUUGCUUGAUGUUAGUUGGGCUCCGAGCCCAAUUAGUGUCGGAGAGAAGUUGUUAAGCAAGCUGCCUGGGAAUACGAUCGCAAGAUUGAAACUUAAGGAAUUGGCGGGGGAGCACAGCAACGGGUGGAGCGUGCGGUUU